rnacentral:rRNA from 1 species
UACGGAGGGGGCUAGCGUUGUUCGGAAUUACUGGGCGUAAAGCGCGCGUAGGCGGACCUGCAAGUCGGGGGUGAAAGCCCGAGGCUCAACCUCGAGAUGUCGGCGGAAACCGUCUGGCUAGAGUCCGGAAGAGGAGAGUGGAAUUCCUGGUGUAGCGGUGAAAUGCGCAGAUAUCAGGAAGAACACCUAUGGCGAAGGCAGCUCUCUGGGACGGUACUGACGCUGAGACGCGAAAGCGUGGGGAGCGAACAGG